rnacentral:rRNA from 1 species
UGGGGAAUAUUGCACAAUGGGGGAAACCCUGAUGCAGCGACGCCGCGUGAACGAAGAAGGUAUUCGUAUCGUAAAGUUCUGUCCUAUGGGAAGAUAAUGACAGUACCAUAGAAGAAAGCUCCGGCUAAAUACGUGCCAGCAGCCGCGGUAAUACGUAUGGAGCGAGCGUUGUCCGGAAUUAUUGGUCGUAAAGGGUACGCAGGCGGUUUAAUAAGUCGAAUGUUAAAGAUCGGGGCUCAACCCCGCAAAGCAUUGGAAACUGAUAAACUUGAGUAGUGGAGAGGAAAGUGGAAUUCCUAGUGUAGUGGUGAAAUACGUAGAUAUUAGGAGGAAUACCAGUAGCGAAGGCGACUUUCUGGACACAAACUGACGCUGAGGUACGAAAGCGUGGGGAGCAAACAGG